rnacentral:rRNA from 1 species
UUCCGGUUGAUCCUGCCGGACCCGACUGCUAUCAGAGUGGGACUAAGCCAUGCGAGUCAACACAGCAAUGUGUGGCAUACGGCUCAGUAACACGUAGUCAACAUGCCCAGGGGACGUGGAUAACCUCGGGAAACUGAGGAUAAACCGCGAUAAGUCACUACUACUGGAAUGGGUAAUGACUUAAAUCUAUAUGGCCCCUGGAUUGGACUGCGGCCGAUCAGGCUGUUGGUGAGGUAAUGGCCCACCAAACCUGUAACCGGUACGGGCUCUGAGAGGAGGAGCCCGGAGAUGGGCACUGAGACAAGGGCCCAGGCCCUAUGGGGCGCAGCAGGCGCGAAACCUCUGCAAUAGGCGAAAGCCUGACAGGGUUACUCUGAGUGAUUUCCGUUAAGGAGAUCUUUUGGCACCUCUAAAAAUGGUGCAGAAUAAGGGGUGGGCAAGUCUGGUGUCAGCCGCCGCGGUAAUACCAGCACCCCGAGUGGUCGGGACGUUUAUUGGGCCUAAAGCAUCCGUAGCCGGUUCUGCAAGUCUUCCGUUAAAUCCACCUGCUUAACAGAUGGGCCGCGGAAGAUACUGUAGAGCUAGGAGGCGGGAGAGGCAAGCGGUACUCGAUGGGUAGGGGUAAAAUCCGUUGAUCCAUUGAAGACCACCAGUGGCGAAGGCGGCUUGCCAGAACGCGCUCGACGGUGAGGGAUGAAAGCUGGGGGAGCAACCGGAUUAGAUACCCGGGUAGUCCCAG